AACGAACGCUGGCGGCAGGCCUAACACAUGCAAGUCGAGCGCGCCCUUCGGGGUGAGCGGCGGACGGGUGAGUAACGCGUGGGAACGUGCCCUUUUCUACGGAAUAGCCUCGGGAAACUGAGAGUAAUACCGUAUACGCCCUUUGGGGGAAAGAUUUAUCGGAAAAGGAUCGGCCCGCGUGGGAUUAGGUAGUUGGUGGGGUAAUGGCCUACCAAGCCGACGAUCCAUAGCUGGUUUGAGAGGAUGAUCAGCCACACUGGGACUGAGACACGGCCCAGACUCCUACGGGAGGCAGCAGUGGGGAAUCUUAGACAAUGGGGGCAACCCUGAUCUAGCCAUGCCGCGUGAGUGAUGAAGGCCUUAGGGUUGUAAAGCUCUUUCAGCUGGGAAGAUAAUGACGGUACCAGCAGAAGAAGCCCCGGCUAACUCCGUG
rnacentral:rRNA from 1 species